rnacentral:lncRNA from 1 species
GAACAGAAUUUUUUACACCAUAUUAUCGCAUUUGAAUCAAAGACACAUUGAAAUUACAAGCAUAAAUUUCAAAUUACUGGGGUUGACCUACAAUUACAAAUUCGACGUCUACAAAUAGAUUAUUAAACUAGUGAAUUACACAAACUUGAUAAUAACGUAAAUGGUUCACUUUCAUGGAACUCCUCCAUUUUGUUUCCUGUUAUCAGUCUUUCCUUUUCCCUUCUGAAAAGUAAAUUUGACCGAGAUAUCAACGUCCUUCUCUUCAGUUAUUUUAGCUACAUGCGUCAACAAACCCGACAACUCAUUAAUUUCUGAUGUGGCACUUGAUUGAGCCUCAUAUUGACAAUGUUCGUCUGCAUCAAGCCACUUGAAAUAAUUGCAAUCGUUAGUACAAUAGAAGAAUAGCCGUCCUAAAUUUUCCGUCCUCUUUUCAACCUCCAUGCAUUUCUAGAUUCCUUUGCCACAUAUUGGACAUGCUUUUUUCGUUGGGCAAUCCAGUAAGUAGUGGCCCGCUUUCCGACAACCAUGAUGCAUCCAUUUGUUCCUUCCCCCCCAUUAUAAUAUUCUGUUGCAACAAAAAAAUAUCAUUACAAUCAGAUCAAUAAUCAUAUGUACUCCAUAAAAUCCAGCAUACAAGAAUUUGAAGACAAUUAUUCAACCAUUAACAGUUUAAGCCUCAAUUCACUGUUCCAUAUUUCUUAUCUUCUGGUUCCAUAUUUGAAGACAAUUACUCAAACCAUUAACAAUUCUUUUUUUUUUUUUCUAAAGAUGAAUACUACCCAGUACCUCUAAAAAAUGACAAGUUGAGAGCAUAGCAAAAAUUUAUGAAUCGCUACAUUUCUCUUCGGAUCGUUGUAUGAAAUGAAUUACGUUGACUCACUCUUGUGACGAGUUGGGG